AUUGAACGCUGGCGGCAGGCCUAACACAUGCAAGUCGAGCGGAUGAAGGGAGCUUGCUCCUGGAUUCAGCGGCGGACGGGUGAGUAAUGCCUAGGAAUCUGCCUGGUAUUGGGGGAUAACGUCCGGAAACGGGCGCUAAUACCGCAUACGUCCUGAGGGAGAAAGUGGGGGGGCGUCGGACCUCACGCUAUGAGAUGAGCCUAGGUCGGAUUAGCUAGUUGGUGGGGUAAAGGCCUACCAAGGCGACGAUCCGUAACUGGUCUGAGAGGAUGAUAAGUCACCUUGGAAGUGAGACACGGUCCAGACUCCUACGGGAGGGAGCAGUGGGGAAUAUUGGACAAAGGGCGAAAGCCUGAUCCAGCCAUGGCGCGUGUGUGACGAAGGUCUUCGGAUUGUAAAGCACUUUAAGUUGGGAGGAAGGGCAGUAAGUUAAUACCUUGCUGUUUUGACGUUACCAACAGAAUAAGCACCGGCUAACUUCGUG
rnacentral:rRNA from 1 species